UACGGGGGGGGCAAGCGUUGUUCGGAAUUACUGGGCGUAAAGGGCGCGUAGGCGGCCAACUAAGUCGGAUGUGAAAUCCCCAGGCUCAACUUGGGAACUGCAUCCGAUACUGGUCGGCUUGAAUCCGGGAGAGGGAUGCAGAAUUCCAGGUGUAGCGGUGAAAUGCGUAGAUAUCUGGAGGAAUACCGGUGGCGAAGGCGGCAUCCUGGACCGGCAUUGACGCUGAUGUGCGAAAGCUAGGGGAGCAAACGGG
rnacentral:rRNA from 1 species